ensembl:lncRNA
UUAGGAAUCAUUUGAUUUGGUUUAAAUCUGAUCUGAUGUGUUUUAGGAAUCAUUUGAUUUGGUUUAAAUCUGAUCUGAUGUGUUUUAGGAACCAUUUGAUUUGGUUUAAAUCUGAUCUGAUGUGUUUUAGGAAUCAUUUGAUUUGGUUUAAAUCUGAUCUGAUGUGUUUUAGGAAUCAUUUGAUUUGGUUUAAAUCUGAUCUGAUGUGUUUUAGAAUCAUUCCCAUGUUCUCUAGCCUAUAUUCCAGGCCUCAGUGAAUCUGUGUGAUUGGUCAAAUCUAGUCGUUACAACAUUUCCAGUAACUUUCUGGGAGAAAAAAACCCUUUGGAAUUCCGGGAAAGUCUGCAACCAAUAGUCAAUUCUUCUUAUGCAUGAGAUUAUAAUCCUUUAAAGUGAGACUGCAUUUAUAGGUAGCCAGAUUCCAAUAGGGGUGGUAGUUACCAUAAGUACGAUAGUUAGUUAUUAUUCCUAUUUUGGCAGUUAACUUGCGGUAGAUAGCUGUAGUUAGCUAGCGGUAGAUAGCUGUAGUUAGCUAGCGGUAGAUAGCUGUAGUUAGCUAGCGGUAGAUAGCUGUAGUUAGCUAGCGGUAGAUAGCUGUAGUUAGCUAGCGGUAGAUAGCUGUAGUUAGCUAGCGGUAGAUAGCUGUAGUUAGCUAGCGGUAGAUAGCUGUAGUUAGCUAGCGGUAGUUAGCUGUAGUUAGCUGGUGGUAGUUAGCUGGCGGUAGUUAGCUGGCGGUAGUUAGCGGUAGUUAGCUAGCGGUAGUUAGCUAGCAUUAGCUAGCUGUAGUUAGCUGGUGGUAGUUAGCUGGCGGUAGUUAGCUGGCGGUAGUUAGCUGUAGUUAGCUAGCGGUAGUUAGCUGUAGUUAGCUAGCGGUAGUUAGCUAGCGGUAGUUAGCUGUAGUUAGCUAGCGGUAGUUAGCAGUAGUUAACUAGCGGUAGUAAGCUAGCAGUAGUUAGCUAGCGGUAGGUAGCUGUAGUUAGCUAGCGGUAGUUAGCUAGCGGUAGUUAACUGUAGUUAGCUAGCGGUAGGUAGCUGUAGUUAGCUUGCUGUAGUUAGCGGUGGUUAGCUAGCGUUUUUGUUAUAGCAUGAUAUGCCGUUGUAUGUUUACAGGGGGUUAUGUUUAUAUUGUCACAUACCCCCGUCUUAUAGCCACCGCUUGACUGUUUACAGGGGGGCGUUAGCUUAUCUUGUGCCGUGAAGGUCCGCAUCACAAACCUUGUUACCAUGGCACCAGUAUCCUCCAACCCAAAUAUAAUCCAAGGUUCCCAGAGAGAGAGACAGAGAGAGAGAGAGAGACAGAGAGAGAGAGAGAGAGAGAGAGAGACAGAGAGAGAGAGAGAGAGAGAGAGAGAGAGAGAGAGAGACAGAGAGAGAGAGAGAGAGAGAGAGAGAGAGAGAGAGAGAGAGAGACAGAGAGAGAGAGAGAGACAGAGAG